UACGUAGGGUGCAAGCGUUAAUCGGAAUUACUGGGCGUAAAGCGUGCGCAGGCGGUUAUGUAAGACAGGUGUGAAAUCCCCGGGCUUAACCUGGGAACUGCAUUUGUGACUGCAUAGCUAGAGUACGGUAGAGGGGGAUGGAAUUCCGCGUGUAGCAGUGAAAUGCGUAGAUAUGCGGAGGAACACCGAUGGCGAAGGCGGCAUCCUGGACCGACACUGACGCUGAGGAGCGAAAGCUAGGGGAGCAAACGGG
rnacentral:rRNA from 1 species